rnacentral:rRNA from 1 species
UACGUAGGGUGCAAACGUUAAUCGGAAUUACUGGGCGUAAAGCGUGCGCAGGCGGUUAUGCAAGACAGAUGUGAAAUCCCCGGGCUUAACCUGGGAACUGCAUUUGUGACUGCAUAGCUGGAGUACGGUAGAGGGGGAUGGAAUUCCGCGUGUAGCAGUGAAAUGCGUAGAUAUGCGGAGGAACACCGAUGGCGAAGGCAGUCCCCUGGACCUGUACUGACGCUCAUGCACGAAAGCGUGGGGAGCAAACAGG